GGGUAGUUUCCUACCUAUACCUGAGGUUUCCAGGGGUGAGUUCACGUCCAGGGAAAGACCGUGGCCACGGCACUCGAGACCCUUUCCGGGACUGGGCCUCGACUUUGCGCCUGGAGGCUGAAGGUUGACGAGAAGCCAAAGGAAGUGAAGACAUCUCUGAUGUUGCAGGAACCAUCGUCUCCACAAGAGUUUGACAUUGAACCAGCAGAUGCUGAAUCUCCAUCUUUGGUACAUUCCAAAAGAUACUAGGCUGAAAAAGAGCGUGUUCGUGAUAAAGGAACACAUAUGUGCCAUGAAGUGCCAUACUCGUUCCAAAGAUGUUGCAGGAAGCAUCUUCUGCACACGAGGUUGACAGCGAACCAGCAGAUGCUGAAUCUCCAUCUUUGGUAUAUUCCAAAGGUUGCCAGACUGAUGAAGAGCCUGUUCAUGAGAAAGGAAUACAUUCUCUUUGUGACAGCAGAGACGAUACCGUAACAUGUAUUUGAACCUCGCGUGGCCUCUACCUGCUCAUAGUGAAAGACCAAAUAAGCACUCAGUGAAAAUGUUAUGAGAAACACAUUUUUACAGAACAUAGGCAUACAGUUCAAUAAGAAUGCUAUGAUUUUAGUUCUGUGGUAUAUGUUUACUUCAUAUACAAACAGAUACAUCAACAUUUACAACAACAUUUACACAAAGACAAAACAAAAAAAUUCAGAAUGUAGACCAGGGGUCACAAACGCGGUGCCCGCGAGCGAAUGGUAGCCCGCGAGGACCAUAUAAGGUGCCCACGAGGUAUGUUCUAAAAAUACCAUAGGCCACAAAUUGUUACUAUUAUUUGUGCUUUAAAUUCUGAAUCUGACUUGCUUACGUGAAUUAAAAUUUUAAAAUACCUGUAAUGACAUUUCCUACAAUAAAUUAAAACAAAAAUAUUUUAUGUACGUGUAAGUUUUAUUGAUUUAAAUCUGUUCACAUUCACAAACUUCUACAGCUCAAAGACCCAUAUCAGUCCAGUACACCCCAUCCACUCCACAUAGAUUUCUGUUUUAAGCAUUUAGUGCCCAAACAAAACCACAAGAUACCGGUCUACAGCUUUCAUUAUAAAGUUAAGCAGUUUUGCUCCUGACAUCUUGGGAAAAUUGUGACUAAAAUGGAGAUGGACGGUCCUGGGAACUGUCUUUUUAUGGCAUCAGUUUACCACGUGAAAAUAUAUUUUGGGUGAAGCAGGUUAUGCUAUUGCUCUCAAAUUAACAUGACUGUUUUAAAUAGAUUUUUUUCAUUAAAAUCCAAACUUGUGAAAAUAUACCAAUUUUGACUUAAUACACAGCCUUUGCAUGAUUUUAAAGGAGACUGAAAACUUCAUAUAUUCAUUUAGGAAAGCGAAGUAAUUUGUAUUUUUCGACUUAUGGCUACAUAAAAAAACCAACAACUUCACAAAUGCUUUUACCAGUCAGUGUUUCCAACGCGAACCAUGUUGUCAAUCAAUGUGCAAUCAAUUUUUGACAAAAAUCGAAAACUACAAAUGUUGCCUUCUUAACAGAUUUCAUAUUCGAAUUCAGCAUAAUAAACUGUAUGAUAUAAGCAAAAGCUGCUUUGAAGACUUUACUUUGAACGCUAUUUACAUCCUGAAAGCAUGCAAUUCAGCACUAAGGAUCUCCCUCCGCUACUGGGAGGAUGUAAAUAGCUUUUAAAGUGCAUGUUUUUUGUCAACUAUUUCUUUACUUAUAGUGCAUCCAUCCAUCCAUCUUUUACCACUUUGCCGAGUUGGGUCGUGGUGGCAGUAGCUUCAGCAGUCAUACCCAGAUAUCCCUUUCCCCAGCCAGUUCAUCCAGCUAUUCCGGAGAGGUCCCGAGUCGUUCCCAGGGCGAUUAAUUUUAGGCAAUUUUCCCCCAAUUUUCCAGAGCAAUUUUCAUGAAAAUUCAAAAAUCCAGAAUUCCGGGAAAAUCCGGAGGACUUUCAUCACUGUUAAACGAGACAAUGACCCCCAAACACACUAGUAAACAUGCAAAGUCUUAGUUCUGAACCAACAAAGUUAAUGUCAUGGAGUGGCCAGCCCAAUCCUUGGACAUUAAUCCGAAUAAAUUUGUGGAGUGGCAUAAAAAAAAAAUGCUGUUUCAAAACCAAGAAAUUUAAAUGAAUUGUUGAGUGUCAUUCAGAAAUCUUGGAGUGGAAUUACAGUUGAGAGGUGCCACAAGUUGGUGGACUCCAUGCCAAACAGAUGUGAAGCAGUUAUUUUCUUCUUCUUUUCCUUUCGGCUUGUCCCGUUAGAGGUAGCCACAGCGUGUCAUUUUUCCAUCAAAGCCUAUCUCGUGCAUCUUCUUCUUUAACAGCCACUGUCCUCAUGUCAUCAUUCACAACAUCCACCAACCUUUUAUUUGGUCUUCCUCUCGCUCUUUUGCCUGGCAGCUCCAUCCUCAGCACCCUUCUACGUAAGUCUGCUCUCUCUAACCGUGUCUCCAAAACAUUUGAUUUUGGUUGUCCCUCUAAUGAGCUCGUUUCUAAUCCUAUCCAACCUGUUCACUCCAAGUGAGAACCUCAGCAUCUUCAUUUCUGCUACCUCCAGUUCUGCUUCCUGUUGUGAAGCAGUUAUUAAAAAAAAAAAAAACAGUAGUAAUAAAACUAAAUAUUAGUUUAGUGAUUCAAAGGAGGGCAACACAGUGGAUCAGCUGGAAAGCAUUGGCCUCACAGUUCUGAGAUCCUGGGUUCGAUCCCGGACCCAAGUGUGUGGAGUUUACAUCUUCUCCGGUGCCUGCGUGGGUUUCCGCCUGUUUCCUUCCACAUCUCAAAAACAUGGAAAAUCCUACAAACAAUAAAGCUUGUAGAAAAUUGUCCUGAGAUUGUAAAGCCAACAGGAGACAGCAAUUUUUUUUUUUUUUUUUUUUUUUUUACACACACCUUUCAACAAUUUGUCCAAUUGCAGUUUGUAAACCUUGAAUGCUGGGUCUUGUUGGUUUUCUGAAAAUCUACUGCACCACCUCGUCACUUGUUUGCCAAGUAGUCAGAAACAAAUUUCUGAAAACCUGGAUUAAUCUGGUUAGUCACAUCCAUCCAUCCAUCCAUCCAUUUUCUUUGUCGCUUAUCCUCAUGAGGGUCGCGGGGAGUGCUCGAGCCUAUCCCAGCUGUCAACGGGCAGGAGGCGGGGUACACCCUGAACUAGUUGCCAGCCAAUCACAGGGCACACGGAGACAAACAGCCACGCUCACAAUCACACCUCGGGGCAAUUUAGACCGUCCAAUUAAUGUUCCAUGUUUUUAGAAUGUGGGAGGAAACCGGAGUCCCCCGAGGAAACCCACGCAGGCACAGG